rnacentral:lncRNA from 1 species
AAUAUAAUAAUAGUCCGAAAAAUAUUAUUCCAAUUCACAUAUUUAUUUUUCAUUCAAAUCAUCAUCUCGUAAAAUUCAUAAAUCACAUAUAAAUUCAUUAACAAGUUAUUCAAUACAAAAAUAAUAUUAUAUAAAUGAAGAGUCUAGAGAAGGCAGUUCAUUAUUUACUUCGAACGCGAUCCACAACAAUUCCAAUUAAUUUCACAAAUUCCUCGCAGAACCUAAUAUCCAAAAAUAAUAUUUUUCUUUUUAAAAUUCACACAAUAUAUAUAAAACUUAAAUUUUAACAUUCUUCCAGAGCUGAUCCUGCAGAGGUGUCUAGCACCCCGAGUUCGGGUUCAGAUUCGGGUUCAUACCCGUAAACCACCCUCUUCCCUUUAUUUUAUUAUUAUUAUUUUCUUUUCUUUCUUUCUUUCCUUCCUUUUUCUUUUCUUUUCUUUUCUUUCCUUCUCUUUUCUUUUCUUUUCUUUUUCUUUUCUUUUCUUCUCUUCUUCUCCAAAGCUUCUCCCGACUUCUUCUCCUUCCUCUCUUUUCUUUCUUCUUUCUUCUUCUCUUUCUCCCGCGAAUGGAGGUCGGCGAGUUUGGAAGAGGUCAAGUCGAGGAGGCCGGCUCUCUCCUUCUUCCCGCGGAGGAGGUAUGCGCACAGGAGAAGAGGAAAAGCCCGCGACGAUCAACCUUCUCCUUCUUCCCUCUCCUCUUCUUUCUUUCUCCUUCCACUAUUCCUUCUCUGUUUUCACUGAACAGAGAAGAGGAACAAGGGAUGGGGGUGCUCUUCGGUCCUCAAGAUGACCGCCACUGAGGGCCGGCGGUGCCUGUGGCCGAAGGCAUGCUGACUGCCACGGGUGCCUCCCCCUCCUUUUCCUUCUCUCUUCUUCUUCUUCUUCUUCUAUUUUAUCAAAUGGUAUAACAAAGGGGUGAGGCUAGGAAUCCUUACCACAGCUCCAGUGAAGAUCCGACGGCUUCCUUCCAGCAGCGAACAGAAGAAGAAAACCACCCGGAAAAAAAAUCCGCCUUCGACGGCUCCUUCUCUCUCUCUCUCUCUCUCNCUCUCUCUCUCUCUCUCNNNNNNNNNNNNNNNNNNNNUCUCUCUCUCUCUCUCUCUCUCUCUCUCUCUCUCUCUCACAGGCGGCUGCACGUUGGGGUCUGGUGGCCUUUUCUUCCGGUGGUCUUAAAGGGGAGGAUGAAGCCCUAAAAAUAGGGGAGCCGGCUUCUUCGGGAUGGCUCCCCCCCCUCACGCGCCCUCACGUGCGACGCAUGUGAGGUUGAAAUUGGUGCUGGGCCGAUCAAAGGACCGGGCCCAGUUUCAGGGUUUCACAGUAAGUUUGUUUCAUUGUGACUUGAGUGUCACCAGUUCAAAAAAUAGAAAUAGCGAGAGAAAUUUGUUUCUCAUUUUUGUUCCUUCUUUUAACCAGUAUAACUUGUUUCUCCUUUUCCACUGAUUAAGAAUUGGUGGAGGCAAUAAAGUUCCUGUUCCUUUAUUCAAUAGUUCUUGUUCAUUGUUAUUAUUUUUUGAAUGUUUCUAGUUUAUAUAUGGAUCUAUGUUAUAUGCUGCUAAAUAACUUUCCAUCCACCUUAUCCUUUUUAACUUAUAAUUUUUUUUUCCGGAAUGCUUGCCAACUUUCUCAGAUACGAUUCAGACUAAUUCAAGAAACUCAGAUGUUUAAAACUUUCCAACUUUUAUUAAUAUGAUCUAUUGUGAUGGUUGAAAAAAAACUGUUCAUCAUCAUCAUCACAUUUCAUGAAAUUGCUUCUAAUUUCUAUUCCCUUCUCAAGGACAUUAAAUUUCAUUACGAACAAUUCUGACUUCUACUAUCGGUAAAUCUCCAUUGGGCUUAUCCUUAUUUACUUCACAGGACCACCACAACUUUUUUCUUGUUUAUAACAAAUGCAAAGUUAUCCUAUCUUUAGGAUUAAAAGAGUGUGGAAGAUAGAUUAGGAAAAGAAACCAGGCGUAUUGCACUUUGAUUAUAUUUUUUGAAGGUUGCUGAGAAUGAUUGGCUGGUAGGUGUUGUUUAAUGGCAUGCAUGUUUGUUUAUGUUAGUCCAUUAAUUUAUUUAGGUAGAAUUUGGAGAGAUGUAACUCCCAUUUGCCUAUCGUCAGAGUUACAUGGGUGCGCAACUACUGGAUUCCAGUUGCGAGGAUUAGGAGUCACAAAUCUAAUGUUUAGUUUGCAAGGAUUGCAGUUGCAAGAUGUGAGAUACGGGGCUAAAGUCGGCAGCCCCAGCCGACUCAGCCCUAUGCUCCUUUUCGGAAAGAGCCAGAGCAGAGGAUCGUGAUUGCGAUCCUCUCCGGCUCCUUCGGGUGCAAUUGGGGCGAAGGCGCGCGAGCAUCCCGCGGCACCCCCGUCCAGUCAAUCUACGGCCAAUUUGCGGCCACGGAUUUCGCUCGACCGUCGCGACCUUCGCGGUGGAGAUUCGUUACGAUGGGGCCUAUAAAACCCCCAUCCUUCCUUCCCCCUAGGGUCACCUCCGAGCAUCUUCCUCUCCUCACCUCUCCUCCCCUUUCUCCUCCUCCUUUGUCAGGUGACCGACAAGCUCUCCCGACUGAGCACCAUCCGAAUCCCCUUCGCGGCCUUCUCUGGUUCUGUGAUCCAUUCCCUCGGUUCCGAGCGCCGCCGCCGCUGCUAGUUGCCGGAUCGAGCCAUCCCCGGCUGAGAUACCUCCUCUUCGCCACCGCCGGUGAGUCUUCCUCCCCUUGUUUUCAUUCUCUUGCCAAAUAAGUCUUUAGAUUUUCUAUUUCUGCCCCAUAAACAGAGAUCUUCUCGGUUGCUUCUCGACCCCGGCCACCGCAGCGGCCGCCGGCCGCCACUGCGAUCGGCUGGUCGUCGACCGAGCGAUGGCCCCUGGCCACCCCGCCGAAUCUCCCUUCCCUCUUCCCCUUCCUCAUCCGUUCUUCCAUCUCCCCUGUCCAUUGGGAGUUCGGUGAGGGAGAAGACCCAUCACGGGCCGAACUAGGCCAAGUUUGGGCCCGAUUCACUGUGGGCCCAACUUGGGCCCAGUUCAAACCCGAAAAUCUGAAACCCAAAAAUCCGAAACCCGAAAUCCGAAACCCAGAACCGAAAUCCGAAACCUGAACCCGAAAACAAAACCCGUUUGGCCAAUAAUUGAAAUUUUACAGUUAAGCCCUUGGCAAUAUAUGAGUUCACAAAAGAGUCUUCUGCAAUUUAUGUCUGGUCCCUAUAAGAAAGAUUUAUUACAUAAAGGUCCUCAAAUAUAUUGGUUUGGUCCAUUUACUCAAGUUUUAUUAUAGAACAGUACCUUGUAAUUAAAUAUUAGCCCCUACAAUAAAUUUUAUUGCAUAAAUAAUUCAUUUAGAGGCCAACUUUGGGGGUCCUAUUGGGCCGGGUCUACGCGGGCCCAUUGGGCCGUAUCCGAUGUGGGCCCUAUCGGACCAUGCCCAUUAUGGACCAACUCUGGGCCUUGUUGGGUCAUGUCCAAUAGUAUCAUUUGUAGUUUUGCUUAGCUCCGAAAUUAACAAAGAAAUUAAUUAAAUUUAAACAGGUGAACCUGAUCCGCCUACCUGAAAUAGGAGUUAAGCAAGAAGACGUAAGUAACUUAAUUCUUCAAGUAUGUUCCAAAUUAUUUGAUAAAUUGAUUAAAUUUUGACAUAUGUUUUGUAUUCAGUAAAAUGGGUCAGACAUGUUAAAUUUUAUUUGAAAAUCAUGUUAUAUGCUCUAAAAUCCAUAAAAUAUGACGGGACAGUUUAUGAAAUCUAUUUUUAUUUAUAUGCAUUCUUAGCAUGGCUAUGAUCUAUUCUGUUCUGUUCUGGCCCCGUUAAUGGAGAUUAUACGUUAGACCUGUCGACUUGUAAUAUGUGAGGAACCGGUUUUGAUACCAUACCACCGGUGAUUAAAAUAGUGGUUUUUGGACACCGUUGCCACCGGUGACAAAUAAUAGUGGUUUUUGGCAUUUUGUGCAAUCCAUGCCACUGGGUUACGUGGCCAUAGCCAUUAUGUUGAGAUUCUGAUAUCAGAGUUUUUGUAAAAAUGGUAAUAAGUUUUGGCAAAAGAAAAAACGAUGUUAUUUGUGAUUUAUUUUUCAGUCAUUAUUUUGUAUUUUAAUCUGAUAUUCUCUGACCUCACUCUAGAGUAUUUUGUUGUUUACUAGGCUCGUGUAGCUCAUUAUCUUAUUUUCUCUGUUUUUCAGAUCCAGAGGCUUGAUCGCACGGGAUUGGAGAGUGCAUUAGAUUUUUCGAUGAUUCCUUCAGUUAUUGGCAUUUUAGUUAUAUUAGCUUGGAUAUUUGAAUUAUGUUGGCAUAUGCUAUUUUGAAAUUUUGUAAGACUG